rnacentral:rRNA from 1 species
GUCAAACUUUUACGUCGGAUUAAACAGCAAUUAAACAACUUAAUAACAAACGUGUGGUGAAAUACAGAGAUAAAGCAAUACCGAAAUUUUGUUCUUUUUUUCCAAAUAUUGAUCUUAAACAGGGAUUAGAGACCCCUUUAUACAAUGUAAAAUUAACUGCUGAGUAGUACGCUACAUAGCCGAAACUUAAACAAUAUGGCGGUAACUUUUGUUUAGGGGAACUUACCGAAUAAAUGAUAACCACCAAGGUAAAUUAACCAACGAAAAUUCUUGUAUGCCGUCGUCGUCAGAUAAUACUGAUGGUAUUCUCCUAAUGUAUUUACAAAAAGACAGAUCAAGGUGCAGACAAUUUUUUGGUUCUGGCGAGUUACAUUUUGCGAUGAAAACAGAUCAACCAGGUAGAGGUAUGAGAAGGGGGACUUAACAGUAAUGGUCACUAUUUUACGCCUYGAACUAUYAAAUUCGUGUACAA